rnacentral:rRNA from 1 species
UGAUCCUGGCUCAGAUUGAACGCUGGCGGCAGGCCUAACACAUGCAAGUCGAGCGGUAACAGGGGUAGCUUGCUACCCGCUGACGAGCGGCGGACGGGUGAGUAAUGCAUAGGAAUCUGCCCGAUAGUGGGGGAUAACCUGGGGAAACCCAGGCUAAUACCGCAUACGUCCUACGGGAGAAAGGGGGCUCCGGCUCCCGCUAUUGGAUGAGCCUAUGUCGGAUUAGCUAGUUGGUAAGGUAAUGGCUUACCAAGGCAACGAUCCGUAGCUGGUCUGAGAGGAUGAUCAGCCACAUCGGGACUGAGACACGGCCCGAACUCCUACGGGAGGCAGCAGUGGGGAAUAUUGGACAAUGGGGGCAACCCUGAUCCAGCCAUGCCGCGUGUGUGAAGAAGGCCCUCGGGUUGUAAAGCACUUUCAGCGAGGAAGAACGCCUAUCGGUUAAUACCCGGUAGGAAAGACAUCACUCGCAGAAGAAGCACCGGCUAACUCCGUGCCAGCAGCCGCGGUAAUACGGAGGGUGCAAGCGUUAAUCGGAAUUACUGGGCGUAAAGCGCGCGUAGGUGGCUUGAUAAGCCGGUUGUGAAAGCCCCGGGCUCAACCUGGGAACGGCAUCCGGAACUGUCAGGCUAGAGUGCAGGAGAGGAAGGUAGAAUUCCCGGUGUAGCGGUGAAAUGCGUAGAGAUCGGGAGGAAUACCAGUGGCGAAGGCGGCCUUCUGGACUGACACUGACACUGAGGUGCGAAAGCGUGGGUAGCAAACAGGAUUAGAUACCCUGGUAGU